rnacentral:rRNA from 1 species
CCUACGGGGGGCAGCAGUGAGGAAUAUUGGUCAAUGGACGAGAGUCUGAACCAGCCACGCAGCGUGAAUGAUGACUGCCCUCUGGGUUGUAAACUCCUUUUAUAUGGGAAUAAAUUGUUCCUCGUGUGGGUUUUUGUAUGUACCAUAUGAAUAAGGAUCGGCUAACUCCGUGCCAGCAGCCGCGGUAAUACGGAGGGUCCGAGCGUUAUCCGGAUUUAUUGGGUUGAAAGGGAGCGUAGGUGGAUUGUUAAGUCAGUUGUGAAAGUGUGCGGCUCAACCGUAAAAUUGCAGUUGAAACUGGCAGUCUUGAGUACAGUAGAGGUGGGCGGAAUUCGUGGUGUAGCGGUGAAAUGCUUAGAUAUCACGAAGAACUCCGAUUGCGAAGGCAGUUCACUGGACUGCAACUGACGCUGAGGCUCGAAAGUGUGGGUAUCAAACAGGAUUAGAUACCCGGGUAGUC